rnacentral:rRNA from 1 species
GAUGAACGCUGGCGGCGUGCCUAAUACAUGCAAGUCGAGCGAACAGACGAGGAGCUUGCUCCUCUGACGUUAGCGGCGGACGGGUGAGUAACACGUGGAUAACCUACCUAUAAGACUGGGAUAACUUCGGGAAACCGGAGCUAAUACCGGAUAAUAUAUUGAACCGCAUGGUUCAAUAGUGAAAGACGGUUUUGCUGUCACUUAUAGAUGGAUCCGCGCCGCAUUAGCUAGUUGGUAAGGUAACGGCUCACCAAGGCAACGAUGCGUAGCCGACCUGAGAGGGGGAUCGGCCACACUGGAACUGAGACACGGUCCAGACGCCUACGGGAGGCAGCAGUAGGGAAUCUGCCGCAAUGGGCGAAAGCCUGACGGAGCAACGCCGCGUGAGUGAUGAAGGUCUUCGGAUCGUAAAACUCUGUUAUUAGGGAAGAACAAAUGUGUAAGUAACUAUGCACGUCUUGACGGUACCUAAUCAGAAAGCCACGGCUAACUACGUG